rnacentral:rRNA from 1 species
AGCCGCGGUAAUACGUAGGUCCCCGAGCCGUUGUCCGGAUUUAUUGGGGCGUAAAGCGAGCGCAGGCGGUUUGAUAAGUCUGAAGUUAAAGGCUGUGGCUCAACCGAUAGUUCGCUUUGGAAACUGUCAAACUUGAGUGCAGAAGGGGAGAGUGGAAUUCCAUGUGUAGCGGUGAAAUGCGUAGAUAUAUGGAGGAACACCGGUGGCGAAAGCGGCUCUCUGGUCUGUAACUGACGCUGAGGCUACGAAAGCGUGGGGAGCGAACAGGAUUAGAUACCCUGGUAGUCCACGCCGUAAACGAUGAGUGCUAGGUGUUGGAUCCUUCCGGGAUUCAGUGCCGCAGCUAACGCAUUAAGCACUCCGCCUGGGGAGUACGACCGCAAGGUUGAAACUCAAAGGAUUGACGGGGCCGCACAGCGGUGGAGCAUGUGGUUAAUUCGAAGCAACGCGAAGAACCUUACCAGGUCUUGACAUCCCGAUGCUAUUUCUAGAGAUAGAAAGUUACUUCGGUACAUCGGUGACAGGUGGUGCGAUGGGUUGUUCCGG